AUCAAAUGCAAGCAAUGCAUGAAAUACCAUCUAGCAACAAGCCUACUAUCAUGCUAGUAUACUUCAACAAUGUAAUGAAUACGAAUACAACAUAGUUAUGCAAUCCACUAACAUAUACUAUGUCUAAUCAGGGUAUGAAUGCAAAUCCACUUAUGCUAUUCAUGUCAUUACCCAAUCCACUAGGCUACCCUGCCUAAGAUAUCAAAUCUCAUAGGUACUCACACCACAAAUCUAGUAGGUGAAGAGGUGAAGAGCUACCCCGCUCUUCGCCCCGACUGAUAUCUCAAAUCUCAUAGGUGAGGAGCUACCCCGCUCUUAUCUCACCCGUCUCACAUCUCAAAGGUAAUAAAUGAAGAGCUACCCCGCUC
rnacentral:lncRNA from 1 species